rnacentral:rRNA from 1 species
GACGAACGCUGGCGGCGUGCCUAAUACAUGCAAGUCGAACGCAGUGGGGACGGGUGAGUAACACGUGGGUAACCUCCCAUCAGAGGGGAUAACACUUGGAAACAGGUGCUAAACCGAUACUGAUGGAUGGACCCGCGGUGCAUUAGCUAGUUGGUGAGGUAACGGCUCACCAAGGCCACGAUGCAUAGCGUACCUGAGAGUGUGAUCGGCCACACUGUGACUGAGACACGGCCCAGACUCCUACGGGAGGCAGCAGUAGGGAUGCGUCGUAAAGGGACGAAAGUCGGACCGAGAAACGCCGAGUGAGUGAAGAAGGUGUUCGGAUCGUAAAACCCUGUUGUUAGAGAAGCGGUAUCUAAACAGAAAGCCACGGCUAACGACGGGCCAGCAGCCGCGGUAAUUC